GAAAUGCGAUACGUAAUGCGAAUUGCAGAAUUCAGUGAAUCAUCGAAUCUUUGAACGCAAAUUGCGCUCUCGAGUAACCCUCAAGAGCACACCUCUCUGAGUGUCGGUUUAACCAAAUGUCACCAAUUUAUUGGUGUACGACAGACUGAGGGUAAGGGGUCUCGGCCUCUUUCCCUUUAAAUCUCAGCCUCACGACUGUGUGUGUUCGUGGCAAGUUGCUUUCACUUAAUUGUGAAUCCAAUCCAUGAACCCUAUGCUGUGAAGCCAAAAGAAACAAAUGAACAAAGGAGUGAGCUUGGGUGCUUUUGUAUCUGAGUGAACAAAUUUGUACAUCUAUGAAUUAGACCUCAGAUGAAGUGGGAAGACCCCCUGAAUUUAA
rnacentral:misc_RNA from 1 species